AAUGAACGCUGGCGGCGUGCCUAACACAUGCAAGUCGAACGCGAAAGCCCUGCUUGCAGGGCGAGUAGAGUGGCGAACGGGUGAGUAACGCGUGGGUAACCUACCCCUCAGUUGGGGAUAAUCCCGCGAAAGUGGGUCUAAUACCGGAUGACAUCGCCUCUCCUCGGAGGGGUGAUCAAAGAUGGCCUCUGGUACAAGCUAUCGCUGGGGGAGGGGCUCGCGUCCUAUUAGCUUGUUGGUGGGGUAACGGCCCACCAAGGCGACGAUGGGUAGCCGGCCUGAGAGGGUGUCCGGCCACACUGGAACUGAGACACGGUCCAGACUCCUACGGGAGGCAGCAGUGGGGAAUUUUUCGCAAUGGGCGAAAGCCUGACGAAGCGACGCCGCGUGGACGAUGAAGGCCUUCGGGUCGUAAAGUCCUGUCGGGUGGGAAGAAAAGUAUGAGCUCGAAUAAAGCUCAUGCUUGACGGUACCACCCAAGGAAGCCCCGGCCAACUCCGUGCCAGCAGCCGCGGUAAUACGGGGGGGGCAAGCGUUAUUCGGAAUCACUGGGCGUAAAGGGCGUCUAGGCGGUCGGGUAAGUCGUGGGUGAAAGCCCCCGGCUCAACCGGGGAAGUGCCUGCGAAACUAUCCGACUUGAGGUCGGGAGAGGAAAGUGGAAUUCCCAGUGUAGCGGUGAAAUGCGCAGAUAUUGGGAGGAACACCAGUGGCGAAGGCGGCUUUCUGGACCGACCCUGACGCUGAAGCGCGAAAGCUAGGGGAGCGAACGGGAUUAGAUACCCCGGUAGUCCUAGCCGUAAACGAUGGGCACUUGGUGUAGCAGGAUUUAAAACCUGCUGUGCCGAAGCUAACGCAUUAAGUGCCCCGCCUGGGGAGUACGGCCGCAAGGCUGAAACUCAAAGGAAUUGACGGGGGCCCGCACAAGCGGUGGAGCAUGUGGUUUAAUUCGAUGCAACGCGAAGAACCUUACCGGGGCUUGAAGUGUGGUUGACAGGAUGAGAAAU
rnacentral:rRNA from 1 species